GGUGAGCUUUCGUGAUAUCAAGACCGCCUGGAUUUCACCCGUCCAAGUCUGCUUACAUGGCCCCAGCUGCCAUGGCGAUGGGCUACUCUCUGACGGAAAUAUGCACAUCUGAAAGAGACCUGGCCCGACGAGCAUCACAGCUACAACAUUGCUGCCAUAGUACAACUAGAUACAAUAGUUAACGGCUUAUUCAAGUGACCAAGUGGUGACAAGGGAAUCUCGUGGCCACCUUCAGCAGUGGGACCACUGUGAAUCGUGUCGGAGAAAAAAGUGAAAGCCGUUUACCACUCCCUGUAACGCCGAAUUGGAGCGCA
rnacentral:lncRNA from 1 species